UAUCAGGCUGUGACACUCUAGAGAGAAGCACUUUGUCAUGUUUGAAAGAAACCAUAGUGCUUCCUAUUGGAGUGUUUGGGUCUGGAG
rnacentral:pre_miRNA from 1 species